AGCCCCGUGGUCCAGUGGUCAAAUUUUGACUCGUGAAAAUGAGCAAGAGACUUGAGACGAUGCCCUUUGGAGGCAUAAACGGCAGUUCGAAUCUGCCCGGGGCUA
rnacentral:tRNA from 1 species